rnacentral:rRNA from 1 species
GAAAGCCUGAUCCAGCCAUGCCGCGUGUGUGAAGAAGGUCUUCGGAUUGUAAGCACUUUAAGUUGGGAGGAAAGGGCAUUAACCUAAUACGUUAGUGUUUUGACGUUACCGACAGAAUAAGCACCGGCUAACUUCGUGCCAGCAGCCGCGGUAAUA